UAAUUUUGCCGCCCUACAUCUAUACUUUAUAAAUCUUUUGCCUUUCAUUAAAGAUUUCCAUGGAGAGGAACAUUUAAGAGUUUCUACCUAAUUUUUAGAGCCAGUGGGCGUAGUGGU